UCCAAAAAUGGUGCUUGAGGAGUUCCAC
rnacentral:sRNA from 1 species